CUCAGAUCAUGUGCGGGGUAGAGGUCGAACAGACCUUGUGAAAAUAGCUUCUGCACUAUUUGUAGCCGCAAUUCAACAUCGAGGUCGCAAACAAUUAUUUUAAUAAGGGCUUAAAUAAUUAUAACGCUGUUAUCCCUAGAGUACCUUAUUCGUCUAAUUUAAUAAAGAUCAUUGUUUAAUAUAAAUAGUCCUAUUUAAAUUUACCCCAAAUAAACUUGUGUAUAAUA
rnacentral:rRNA from 1 species